CGCCGAUGGCAGAUGAUCGCUCCGAAGAAAUUCGGAGAGGAAAGUCCGAACACCAUACGGCAGCAUGCCGCGUAAAGCACGCGGGCGCCGCAAUUGAAAAAUUGCGGUGACGGAAAGUGUCACAGAGAAGAGACCGCCGGUUCUUUGGCAACGAAGGUCAGGUAAGGGUGAAAAGGCGAGGUAAGAGCUCACCG
rnacentral:RNase_P_RNA from 1 species